rnacentral:rRNA from 1 species
GACGAACGCUGGCGGCGUGCCUAAUACAUGCAAGUAGAACGCUGAAGAGAGGAGCUUGCUCUUCUUGGAUGAGUUGCGAACGGGUGAGUAACGCGUAGGUAACCUGCCUGGUAGCGGGGGAUAACUAUUGGAAACGAUAGCUAAUACCGCAUAAAAUGGAUUAUCGCAUGAUAAUCCAUUGAAAGGUGCAAAUGCAUCACUACCAGAUGGACCUGCGUUGUAUUAGCUAGUUGGUGAGGUAACGGCUCACCAAGGCAACGAUACAUAGCCGACCUGAGAGGGUGAUCGGCCACACUGGGACUGAGACACGGCCCAGACUCCUACGGGAGGCAGCAGUAGGGAAUCUUCGGCAAUGGACGGAAGUCUGACCGAGCAACGCCGCGUGAGUGAAGAAGGUUUUCGGAUCGUAAAGCUCUGUUGUAAGAGAAGAACGAGUGUGAGAGUGGAAAGUUCACACUGUGACGGUAUCUUACCAGAAAGGGACGGCUAACUACGUGCCAGCAGCCGCGGUAAUACGUAGGUCCCGAGCGUUGUCCGGAUUUAUUGGGCGUAAAGCGAGCGCAGGCGGUUAGAUAAGUCUGAAGUUAAAGGCUGUGGCUUAACCAUAGUACGCUUUGGAGACUGUUUAACUUGAGUGCAAGAGGGGAGAGUGGAAUUCCAUGUGUAGCGGUGAAAUGCGUAGAUAUAUGGAGGAACACCGGUGGCGAAAGCGGCUCUCUGGCUUGUAACUGACGCUGAGGCUCGAAAGCGUGGGGAGCAAACAGGAUAGAUACCCUGGUAGUCCACGCCGUAAACGAUGAGUGCUAGGUGUUAGACCCUUUCCGGGGUUUAGUGCCGCAGCUAACGCAUUAAGCACUCCGCCUGGGGAGUACGACCGCAAGGUUGAAACUCAAAGGAAUUGACGGGGGCCCGCACAAGCGGUGGAGCAUGUGGUUUAAUUCGAAGCAACGCGAAGAACCUUACCAGGUCUUGACAUCCCUCUGACCGCUCUAGAGAUAGAGUUUUCCUUCGGGACAGAGGUGACAGGUGGUGCAUGGUUGUCGUCAGCUCGUGUCGUGAGAUGUUGGGUUAAGUCCCGCAACGAGCGCAACCCCUAUUGUUAGUUGCCAUCAUUUAGUUGGGCACUCUAGCGAGACUGCCGGUAAUAAACCGGAGGAAGGUGGGGAUGACGUCAAAUCAUCAUGCCCCUUAUGACCUGGGCUACACACGUGCUACAAUGGCUGGUACAACGAGUCGCAAGCCGGUGACGGCAAGCUAAUCUCUUAAAGCCAGUCUCAGUUCGGAUUGUAGGCUGCAACUCGCCUACAUGAAGUCGGAAUCGCUAGUAAUCGCGGAUCAGCACGCCGCGGUGAAUACGUUCCCGGGCCU